rnacentral:rRNA from 1 species
UGGGGAAUAUUGCACAAUGGGGGAAACCCUGAUGCAGCGACGCCGCGUGAACGAAGAAGGUAUUCGUAUCGUAAAGUUCUGUCCUAUGGGAAGAUAAUGACAGUACCAUAGAAGAAAGCUCCGGCUAAAUACGUGCCAGCAGCCGCGGUAAUACGUAUGGAGCGAGCGUUGUCCGGAAUUAUUGGGCGUAAAGGGUACGCAGGCGGUUUAAUAAGUCGAAUGUUAAAGAUCGGGGCUCAACCCCGUAAAGCAGUGGAAACUGAUAAACUUGAGUAGUGGAGAAGAAAGUGGAAUUACUAGUGUAGUGGUGAUAUACGUAGAUAUUAGGAGGAAUACCAGUAGCGAAGGCGACUGUCUGGACGCAAACUGACGAUGAGGUACGAAAGCAUGGGGAGCAAACAGG